CAGUGCCUACGGGGCGCAGCAGUAGGGAAUCUUCCACAAUGGACGAAAGUCUGAUGGAGCAACGCCGCGUGAGUGAAGAAGGGUUUCGGCUCGUAAAGCUCUGUUGGGAGUGAAGAAAGAUAGAGGUAGUAACUGGCCUUUAUUUGACGGGAAUUACUUAGAAAGUCACGGCUAACUACGUGCCAGCAGCCGCGGGAAUACGUAGGUGGCAAGCGUUGUCCGGAUUUAUUGGG
rnacentral:rRNA from 1 species